UUCCAUCACCUCACUCCCCAUGGUGCUGCCAACUAACAAACUCUAAAUUCUCUUCGUUAACCCAUCAAUCUGAUCAAACUCAAAUAAAAAAUUUCUCUUCCAUUACAAUUGUGGUAAAAAACUACAAAUUCGUAGGAAAAUUACCACAAAAAUACUGAGCCAAAAUUGGUCAGAUUCAUCUUCCCCUUCUCAGCAGAAGUUCAUCUUCAAGCAGCAUAAGGGAUGUCAAUCGACUCAAUCUUGUUCCCUUGCACAAGAAAUGGAACAAUUGCAAACUUUUUCCUUCUUUGUCCACGCCGCACGCCCGAUCCGACAAUCUCUAUCUCAUCAAGAUCUAGGGAAUUUAUUCAGAGAGGGGGUUGGGGAGAGAGAUAGGUGAGAGAGCUUGAAGAACAACCCAUCAAAGAUGGCGUUGAGGGGAGUAGUGCAAUGGGCAUAGCCACAACGUCGAAGUGCAAACUUGCUCCGAUGGCAGUUGCUAUGUCGGCUAGAUGAAGGAGGAAAUGAAAAUAAAAAAGAUGAAGGAGCAUAGAAAAUAAAAAAAAUAAAGACAGAAAAUUGGGGGAGUGGGGGAGGGUCGGGAGACUUCUACAUGGAUUAUUAAUAAAUGAAGAUGAUGAGAGAUUCUAUAGCGAAUAUUAAUAAAUAAAAUAAUUGUUAUUUUAUAUUUAAUAUCAUACUUAUUUUAGUCAUUUGACAUGUUACAAUAUAUUUUUUUUAAAAGUAUUUUUAUAAGAAAAAAUUAUCAAACACUCAACUGUUUUAUUUUACAGCUGUUUAUUCUUACAGCACAGCAGAAACAAUUUUUUUUAAAACACGAGAAUACCAAAUAAAUUAUCAAAUAUGAAGACUCACUAAAUAGAGUAUGCCCUACUUUAAUUUUGGGUAGGAGGGGUGCAUACUGUGCAGCAACUGCUGCUCUUUUUGUUAUUUUUCUUGUUUUCUGAACCCACCCACGGGAGAGCUUGUCAUUUUGGUUUUCUCUUCUGGGUUUUUUUUUUUAACUCUUGAAAAAUUAAUUGUAGAGAUAUUUUUUUUAGUUUUUAUCAAUGGUCACAAUAUUUCAAUAAAAAAAAUAAUUUUUAAUAUUUUAGUCUCUAUAUAAAGAUUUUUCAUUGCACAAAAUAUUCUUUUAAGGAUUCUAAUAUUUCUAUCAAAAUUUCAAAAAAAAAAACAAAAUUAAGAAAACAUCUAAGUUCAUUAUUUUUUAAAAUAUUAUUUUA
rnacentral:lncRNA from 1 species